UACGUAGGGUGCAAGCGUUAAUCGGAAUUACUGGGCGUAAAGCGUGCGCAGGCGGUUUGUUAAGUCCGUUGUGAAAGCCCCGAGCUCAACUUGGGAAUUGCAGUGGAUACUGGCAGGCUGGAGUAUGGUAGAGGAAGGUGGAAUUCCCGGUGUAGCAGUGAAAUACGUAGAGAUCGGGAGGAACACCAGUGGCGAAGGCGGCCUUCUGGACCAAUACUGACGCUCAUGCACGAAAGCGUGGGGAGCAAACAGG
rnacentral:rRNA from 1 species